CAGCAGCCGCGGGAAUACGUAGGGUGCGAGCGUUAAUCGGAAUUACUGGGCGUAAAGCGUGCGCAGGCGGUUAUGUAAGACAGGUGUGAAAUCCCCGGGCUUAACCUGGGAACUGCGCUUGUGACUGCACAGCUAGAGUAUGGCAGAGGGGGGUGGAAUUCCACGUGUAGCAGUGAAAUGCGUAGAGAUGUGGAGGAACACCGAUGGCGAAGGCAGCCCCCUGGGCCAAUACUGACGCUCAUGCACGAAAGCGUGGGGAGCAAACAGGAUUAGAUACCCCUGUAGUCCCUGUCUCUUAUAA
rnacentral:rRNA from 1 species